rnacentral:tRNA from 1 species
GUUUAUAUAGUUUAAAAAUAAAACUUUACAUUUUCAUUGUAAAAAUAAAAUAUAUUAAUUUUUAUAAAUA